AACGCACCUUGCGCUCCUUGGUAUUCCAUGGAGCAUGCCUGUUUGAGUGUCACGUAAACCCUCGCCCUUUGUGAUGUCAAAGUCGCACCGCGGUGGAUUUGGACCGUGCCGUAAUCGGCUCGUCCUGAAAUGCAUUAGCUUGUGCUCGUUAGAGUGCUCGGCAUGGUGUGAUAAUUAUCUGCGCCGUCGCCUUAGGCCUCUUCUGUGUGCGCUGCUUCCAAUCGUCCCUCGCGGACAACGUUUUAAAGCUUUGGCCUCAAAUCAGGUAGGACUACCCGCUGAACUUAA
rnacentral:misc_RNA from 1 species